UCAAAGGGCCGAGUCAGAAUCUGGCU
rnacentral:piRNA from 1 species